rnacentral:lncRNA from 1 species
UAAUAAUGUAGAGAUUGUUAUGCAAUGAAUAAUAAUGCAUGAAAUGUUAAGUAAGGUUAUUUACUUUAAGGGCGUCCGUAUUAAAAAAACAUGUAUUCUUGUUUCAAAUUAUCCCGCAUAAAAUACAUAACUUCUAGCGUAACUUAAUGCGGGUAUUGUUUAAUACCACAAACCAAAAGCUGCAUAAGCCAACCAAACGCCGCAUUAGUUAACCGGGAAUUAUGUUUCCUAAUCCCUCCAAACAGACAUUGUAUUAAAUGCGGGAUUCAAUGCUGGAAUUAUUUUCCUAAUCUCUCUAACAAAACGACCCCUUAGUAACAUCCAAAGAUAUAUGACCGGUCUUAAUCAAUCAAUUUCACAAAGAUAGAGAUUAGGUGACAUUAUUUUCCAGAAUAAACCCCACCCAGUCCUCCAAAAUUGUGUUAGGUAACAUCCAAAGAUAUAUAACCGGUCUUAAUCAAUCAAUUUCACAAAGAUAGAGAUUAGGUGACAUUAUUUUCCAGAAUAAACCCCACCCAGUCCUCCAAAAUUGUGUUAGGUCACAAAAACAGUUAACAAGCAGCAGAAAAAUACUAUGUAGCCGCGGGAAACAGAACCAGUCGCCGGAAAAUAAAAAAGUUGUCGGAAUGUGAUGAAACUUGGAGGGUAGAGUCGGAAUUAGUAGGCGAGCAAUCUGUCCUCGAGGAACUUCUCCAAAAAAUGAUCGGAAAAGGUCGUACUCGUCGGCGCGUGGGACCAUGCGCUCGCCGAAACCCUAGCUUCUGACAACGCGUGAGGGCGUGUGAGGCUGCUUGUACCGGAGAGGUUGAGUGGGGUUUGGCCGUCGGACGAUGAUGGAUCUUUUGGUGGUGUUGGAUUUUGCACAACACUGACGGAGAGAGA